AACAUUAGAUUUAGACGUUUUCUUAUAUUUUUGAUGUACAUAACCAUUUGAUACCAAGAUUGAUACUCAUAUUUGCAAAAAAAAAAACAAUAUUUGAACGUUUUAUGAUGUUUCUAGAUUACUCCAAAUACCACAGUUAUAGUGCGAUUGAUAGAUAUUGAUAGAUUGAAGUUAUAAUCUUAAAUACUCGUUUUCCUUUCGAUAGUCCGUCUAGAAUGUCUUAGUAAUGUAUACAUUUUGAUCAUAGCAAUAGCUCCCGUGCCCCAUCAGUCAGUUAACUGACCUCAGCUUACCUAACAUCAUAUGUGGCAACUUUUUAAGCGACAUAUUGGAACUAGUGCCGAGAACGCGAAGAGUCGUUAGACCACUGAUGUAGGCGCCAAAUCAUGGGUGACGAAUUUUACGGCGUGCUUGAUCAAAUUUGUAGCAUUUUACACAUUCUGUUGGAUAACAAGAGAAAUUCGAAUAGUUAACAACAACUUCUCAUCAAUGUACCUAUUGUCUACACCUCUAACUACAUAGCACAUUACCUAACUUCCGACAUGAUAGAUUGAAGUUAUAUUCUUAAAUACUCGUUUUCCUUUCGAUAGUCCGUCUAGAAUGUCUUGUAAUGUAUACAUUUUGAUCAUAGCAAUAGCUCCCGUGCCCCAUCAGUCAGUUAACUGACCUCGGCUUACCUAACAUCAUAUGUGGCAACUCUUUAAGCGACAUAUUGGAACUAGUGCCGAGAACGCGAAGAGUCGUUAGACCACUGAUGUAGGCGCCAAAUCAUGGGUGACGAAUUUUACGGCGUGCUUGAUCAAAUUUGUAGCAUUUUACACAUUCUAUUGGAUAACAAGAGAAAUUCGAAUAGUUAACAAAAACUUCUCAUCAAUAUACCUAUUGUCUACACCUCUAACUACAUAGCACAUUACCUAACUUCCGACAUGAUAGAUUGAAGUUAUAUUCUUAAAUACUCGUUUUCCUUUCGAUAGUCCGUCUAGAAUGUCUUAGUAAUGUAUACAUUUUGAUCAUAGCAAUAGCUCCCGUGCCCCAUCAGUCAGUUAACUGACCUCGGCUUACCUAACAUCAUAUGUGGCAACUCUUUAAGCGACAUAUUGGAACUAGUGCCGAGAACGCGAAGAGUCGUUAGACCACUGAUGUAGGCGCCAAAUCAUGGGUGACGAAUUUUACGGCGUGCUUGAUCAAAUUUGUAGCAUUUUACACAUUCUAUUGGAUAACAAGAGAAAUUCGAAUAGUUAAUAACAACUUCUCAUCAAUACAAUGGUUAGUUUUGGACACCUACGAAAGAUCUUGAUGUAGAUAGCUCUACGAUCAUAGGAGGUAUACUCCAAAGGAUACGUUUGGUGAACGUUGAGGCGCACAAAAUAUUUUUUUUGUGUUGAGACAGCUGACUGCAUAAUUCGUCUAUUUGUUUCUCCAUAUUGACCGCUGCAGAACUGGGUGGCCGAAAAUCUGGAAAGGAAAACUAUAUCAACAUAUUUCAUUGAAUAAGCUAUUCUUGAUACGCUUGCAAUGGUUAUACACCUUACCAGGCACCUUACCAUAGUUCCUGUAUUAUAUAAUAAACCUACCUGAAUCCUCCCGAAACAAUAUUGCCAAAGACCAAACCAAGACCUCCAUCUCCCAUACAUCGCUUGGAAAUUUCAGGGCGCAUGAAGUACUAGAGUAAAAAAGUAUCAUACCUUCAAUCAUUAAAACUUUGCACCCCACUAGUCACCCGUUUUUGUUGCUAAGCGUAACUAACACGUUGUUUAUAUAAGUAUAAACAAGAAAAAUGAUUGCGAUGCUAAUUGCUUGAAUAUAUACUGAAGCUAUGCAAUGAUGAAUAGCGUACUUAUCCACUACUGAUACCUCAGUUCAGAGCCAGUUUUAAUAAUUUGUAUCGGAAACUGUGCACAGACUGACAAGGUCAAAAUCUUCAGUGAUAUUCAGUCGUAUGUAGCUUUCAUCGAGCCCGUUCGGAACCUUCCCAAGCAAGUUCAAUUCUGCACCUGGACCCGAUGCCUAAUUCCGUUCCUGGCUUUGUGUAUUUAGUGAUUAUAAGUUACAGAAGUUCCUAUCACAAGCAAUAUGGCUAUUGAAACGAGUCUUCGUCAAAAAGGCGAUGAAGUCAAGAUUAUUGUAAUGUAACCGGGACUUUCAUAACAUGAUACCACCCACUUCAUAUCCACUAUUUCCGGUUAUUUUUCGUCCAAUCAAUUUGUUUGUGUUAUCAGGACCUAAUGUAAGCUAACCAUUGUCAGAAAAUCAAAUGAAUUGGUUAAGAAAUAACUAGAAAAUAACGGUGGGCACAAAGUGAGUGGCACCAUGUUAUGUAACAGGUGACAAAACUGUAGUUUAGAUUCGGAGUUGAUGUUUCAAUUUGCUGUUGUAAAGAUUUUUUAAUGUCGUGAUAAUUUUCAGUUUGCAAUAAAAUAACCCACUAAGCAUCCUCCAACCCCAACCUUUCCCAUGCUAUAUAAUUUAGAAGCAAAUUGGGACAGCUCUAUCAUAUGCUCCACCAUGGGAAAAUAUCAAAAAUAAAGUAUUAAAUUUCAGAA